AGAGCACUGUUAAGGCUAGGGGGUCAUCCCGACUUACCAACCCUUUGCAAACUCCGAAUACCAGUAAGUACUAUCCGGGAGACACACGGCGGGUGCUAACGUCCGUCGUGGAGAGGGAAACAACCCAGACCGCCAGCUAAGGUCCCAAAUUACUACUAAGUGGGAAACGAUGUGGGAAGGCUCAGACAGCCAGGAUGUUGGCUUAGAAGCAGCCAUCAUUUAAAGAAAGCGUAAUAGCUCACUGGUCGAGUCGGCCUGCGCGGAAGAUGUAACGGGGCUAAGUAGUAAACCGAAGCUGCGGCAAUACUCUUUGAGUAUUGGGUAGGGGAGCGUUCUGUAAGCGGUUGAAGGUGUGUGGUAACGCAAUGCUGGACGUAUCAGAAGUGCGAAUGCUGACAUGAGUAACGAUAAAGGGGGUGAAAAACCUCCUCGCCGGAAGACCAAGGGUUCCUGUCCAACGUUAAUCGGGGCAGGGUAAGUCGACCCCUAAGGCGAGGCCGAAAGGCGUAGUCGAUGGGAAAACGGGUUAAUAUUCCCGUACUUCUUACAAUUGCGAUGGGGGGACGGAGAAGGCUAGGUGGGCCUGGCGACGGUUGUCCAGGUUCAAGUGCGUAGGCUGAAGAGUUAGGUAAAUCCGGCUCUUCUUAAGGCUGAGACACGACGUCGAGCAUCUACGGAUGUGAAGUCAUUGAUGCCAUGCUUCCAGGAAAAGCCUCUAAGCUUCAGAUUGUAAGGAAUCGUACCCCAAACCGACACAGGUGGUCGGGUAGAGAAUACCAAGGCGCUUGAGAGAACUCGGGUGAAGGAACUAGGCAAAAUGGUACCGUAACUUCGGGAGAAGGUACGCUCUCGACGGUGAAGUCCCUCGCGGAUGGAGCUAUUGAGAGUCGCAGAUACCAGGUGGCUGCAACUGUUUAUUAAAAACACAGCACUGUGCAAAAUCGCAAGAUGACGUAUACGGUGUGACGCCUGCCCGGUGCCGGAAGGUUAAUUGAUGGGGUUAGACUUCGGUCGAAGCUCUUGAUCGAAGCCCCGGUAAACGGCGGCCGUAACUAUAACGGUCCUAAGGUAGCGAAAUUCCUUGUCGGGUAAGUUCCGACCUGCACGAAUGGCGUAAUGAUGGCCACGCUGUCUCCACCCGAGACUCAGUGAAAUUGAAUCGCUGUGAAGAUGCAGUGUACCCGCGGCUAGACGGAAAGACCCGUGAACCUUUUACUACAGCUUGGCACUGAACAUUGACCCUACAUGUGUAGGAUAGGUGGGAGGCUUUGAAGCGCAGUCGCUAGAUUGCGUGGAGCCGUCCUUGAAAUACCACCCUUGUAGUGUUGAUGUUCUAACGUCGACCCCUUAUCGGGGUUGCGGACAGUGCCUGGUGGGUAGUUUGACUGGGGCGGUCUCCUCCCAAAGCGUAACGGAGGAGCACGAAGGUGGGCUAAUCACGGUUGGACAUCGUGAGGUUAGUGCAAUGGCAUAAGCCCGCUUGACUGCGAGAAUGACAAUUCGAGCAGGUGCGAAAGCAGGUCAUAGUGAUCCGGUGGUUCUGAAUGGAAGGGCCAUCGCUCAACGGAUAAAAGGUACUCCGGGGAUAACAGGCUGAUACCGCCCAAGAGUUCAUAUCGACGGCGGUGUUUGGCACCUCGAUGUCGGCUCAUCACAUCCUGGGGCUGAAGUCGGUCCCAAGGGUAUGGCUGUUCGCCAUUUAAAGUGGUACGCGAGCUGGGUUUAGAACGUCGUGAGACAGUUCGGUCCCUAUCUGCCGUGGGCGUUGGAGAAUUGAAAGGGGCUGCUCCUAGUACGAGAGGACCGGAGUGGACGAACCUCUGGUGUUCGGGUUGUGUCGCCAGACGCAUUGCCGGUAGCUAAGUUCGGGAUCGAUAACCGCUGAAAGCAUCUAAGCGGGAAGCGAGCCUUGAGAUGAGUUCUCCCUGAUACUUUAAGUAUCCUAAAGGGUUGUCGUAGACUACGACGUUGAUAGGCAGGGUGUGUAAGCGUUGUGAGGCGUUGAGCUAACCUGUACUAAUUGCCCGUGAGGCUUAACCA
rnacentral:rRNA from 1 species